rnacentral:rRNA from 1 species
GAUGAACGCUGGCGGCGUGCCUAAUACAUGCAAGUCGAGCGAAUGGAUUAAGAGCUUGCUCUUAUGAAGUUAGCGGCGGACGGGUGAGUAACACGUGGGUAACCUGUCCAUAAGACUGGGAUAACUCCGGGAAACCGGGGCUAAUACCGGAUAACAUUUUGAACCGCAUGGUUCGAAAUUGAAGGGCGGCUUCGGCUGUCACUUAUGGAUGGACCCGCGUCGCAUUAGCUAGUUGGUGAGGUAACGGCUCACCAAGGCAACGAUGCGUAGCCGACCUGAGAGGGUGAUCGGCCACACUGGGACUGAGACACGGCCCAGACUCCUACAGGAGGCAGCAGUAGGGAAUCUUCCGCAAUGGACGAAAGUCUGACGGAGCAACGCCGCGUGAGUGAUGAAGGCUUUCGGGUCGUAAAACUCUGUUGUUAGGGAAGAACAAGUGCUAGUUGAAUAAGCUGGCACCUUGACGGUACCUAACCAGAAAGCCACGGCUAACUACGUGCCAGCCGCCGCCGUAA